GAUGAACGCUAGCGGCAGGCUUAACACAUGCAAGUCGAGGGGUAGAGUAGCAAUACUUGAGACCGGCGCACGGGUGCGUAACGCGUAUGCAAUCUACCUUUUACAGAGGGAUAGCCCAGAGAAAUUUGGAUUAAUACCUCAUAGCAUAGCAGCUUCGCAUGAAGCCACUAUUAAAGUCACAACGGUAAAAGAUGAGCAUGCGUCCCAUUAGCUAGUUGGUAAGGUAACGGCUUACCAAGGCUACGAUGGGUAGGGUCCUGAGAGGGAGAUCCCCCACACUGGUACUGAGACACGGACCAGACUCCUACGGGAGGCAGCAGUGAGGAAUAUUGGACAAUGGGCGCAAGCCUGAUCCAGCCAUGCCGCGUGCAGGAUGACGGUCCUA
rnacentral:rRNA from 1 species